UGUACUAACAAGAUGCCCUCAACAUGUCUAUCUUGAGUUGUUGGACUCUAAAAGUGUCGUAUAUGUAUAAUUCACAGUAUACAUUCAUAUACCAUUGGAUUCAAUGUCUUAACUUAUUCCUUAUGUAGAAUGAAUGGAGGUACAAAGAUGCAGGAUGGAGGGCAUCGACCAUGUGGGAUUCAUCGACCCACAUCAUGUAAACCGAACAAUGAUGCAAUCCGAUCCAAAAGAAACUAAGGACUAUGCAUUGAAGUGUAUUCUGGAGUUAAAUUGAAGAGAUACAUACUUUUGCCCUGCACUUUGGUUAUCACUGGAUCCUCCUUGUCAUCCAGCCAAACAUUAGCAAGAUCGUUGUCUUCGACUCACAAAAUAAUCCAAAAGAAACCUACUAACACGUCAUUGACUUGCUACAAAAAGUGUACCUACGAUACAUCAAGAAGAAUGUUAGACAUCGGCCAUUCGCGAAAGAAUGGAUUGUCCAACAUGACUUUCCUUGUAAGAAGUAGGGCCCGGAUAAUAAUUUAUAUGGUUUUUAUGUAAUGGAAUUCAUCCACAGAUUCAAUGAAGACGCGUCAUAUUAGGUGGUCGAUGCCGAGCUCCUCAUGUUGUCCAGAGAUCGACUCAUGGCCAUUGAAAUCAACACACUUCAAGAACAAAUUAUCAGGUUCAUCAAUGACCAAGUCAUCGGUCCAACCAGCG